UACAGGGGGUGCAAACGUUGCUCGGAAUUAUUGGGCGUAAAGCGCGCGUAGGCGGCCACUUAAGUCGGAUGUGAAAGCCCCUGGCUCAACUGGGGAAGUGCACCCGAAACUGAAUGGCUUGAAUGCAAAAGAGGGUCGCGGAAUUCCCGGUGUAGAGGUGAAAUUCGUAGAUAUCGGGAGGAACACCGGUGGCGAAGGCGGCAUCCUGGACCGGUAUUGACGCUGAGGCGCGAAAGCCAGGGGAGCAAACGGG
rnacentral:rRNA from 1 species